rnacentral:rRNA from 1 species
UACGGGGGGGGCAAGCGUUGUUCGGAAUUACUGGGCGUAAAGGGCUCGUAGGCGGCCAACUAAGUCAGACGUGAAAUCCCUCGGCUUAACCGGGGAACUGCGUCUGAUACUGGAUGGCUUGAGAUUGGGAGAGGGAUGCGGAAUUCCAGGUGUAGCGGUGAAAUGCGUAGAUAUCUGGAGGAACACCGGUGGCGAAGGCGGCAUCCUGGACCAUUACUGACACUGAAAAGCGAAAGCCAGGGGAGCAAACGGG